rnacentral:lncRNA from 1 species
GUGCAUCAGUUGGACGAGGUGCCUGGCCUCCUUGCGAGCUGCGAGCCAAAAAGAAGUAGUGAGGUUCACUCAAAAGAAAAGCAGUGAGGAUGAGCGGCGCAGGAUCGGUCGGACCUGGGGGCAUGCAUCAUGCAUGGCGCAGGUGGCGGAGGAAGGCUGUGGGCGUCUGAAUCGAGUCGGAGGCGAGGCUGUUGGCCGGAUCCGGAGCACGGACCGGCUACUGGGCGGGCGGCCAGAUCGGGCGACGGCAGAAGAGCUCCAGGGGGCCCAUCCAUGGCUGUCCUCACCGACGCGGGGGGCGGCCGGGGGGGGGGGGUCCCUGGAGGGCACCAGCGGGCCACGCAGUCGGAUCUAGCAGCCGACGGAUUAAGACGGAGAGGCGGCGACCUUCGUUGCCGGGCUCCCUGAAGAAAACGUGUGAGAGAGAUUAGAGAGAGAAGGGGAAGAGAGGGAGGGGCAGGCAUCGGCUUGGCCUGCUUGCGCGCGGUUGGAGGAGGCAGGGCCCUUACCUCGAUCUGGCGCCACGGUCCCUAGGGCGUGCGGAGGACAGGAGGAGGGAAGAGAGAUGGGGGUGUG